ensembl:lncRNA PVT1 Pvt1 oncogene
AGACUUUCAGGAAGCACAGCCAUGAAGCUGCAUGCGUCUGUGUGUGGAUGCCUCAUGCCUUUUCCUGGUGGUUUGCAGGCAUGGAAGAUUCUUCUGUUCAUCUAAGCUCCUGACUUUAGGCCCUUCUAGAACAUUAGAGAGGAGAAGAAAUCACGUGCAAGGAUUUAGGGACAAGAGGAUGAGGUUUUGGUGUUUCCUUUCUGGUAUUAGGUUUUCCAGAGAGAGGCUGUUAGCCUGUCUCUCGCCCACUCCACCACUGUGAAUCCUGGCUACUGGGGCUAGUUCCUUGCUAGGAAAAAAAAACUCUAGAGAAAUGUGUUUGUGUGUGGUGGGUGGGCGGGGGCCCUGAGGAUGCAGGGACUGUGUCUGCUGUGUUGUCUGUUAUAAGAUGUUUCAGACCUAUUUUGCAUACUGGCAGCGACAAGUUGAGACUUGUUCAACUUGACACAGUCCUGUGGUCAUAGCGAAUCUUUCUAAAGCUCUGAUCAGUCAAGAAGGGGGUUGUAUCAAUCCUCAGAACCCUGAGUGGAACUUUCUACAGGAUUUAUUAGGAGAAAAACCUUCCCGGAAGCUGCAGAAGGACAAAUACAGAAUCCGUGUCUGGGAGAAACCUCGUGGCCUGGUCUCCAUUAUUUGAGAUGAGUUACAUCUUGGAGGUGAGGACGUGCCUCGUGGUCUAAAGCUUCGGCACAAGGGCCCAACUGGAAUUCCACUUACGGGCCUGAUCUUUUGGCCAGAAGGAGAUUAAAAAGAUGCCCCUCAAGAUGGCUGUGCCUGUCAGCUGCAUGGAGCUUCGUUCAAGUAUUUUCUGAGCCUGAUGGAUUUACAGUGAUCUUCAGUGGUCUGGGGAAUAACGCUGGUGGAACCAUGCACUGGAAUGACACACGCCCGGCACAUUUCAGGAUACUAAAAGUGGUUUUAAGGGAGGCUGUGGCUGAAUGCCUCAUGGAUUCUUACAGCUUGGAUGUCCAUGGGGGACGAAGGACUGCAGCUGGCUGAGAGGGUUGAGAUCUCUGUUUACUUAGAUCUCUGCCAACUUCCUUUGGGUCUCCCUAUGGAAUGUAAGACCCCGACUCUUCCUGGUGAAGCAUCUGAUGCACGUUCCAUCCGGCGCUCAGCUGGGCUUGAGCUGACCAUACUCCCUGGAGCCUUCUCCCGAGGUGCGCGGGUGACCUUGGCACAUACAGCCAUCAUGAUGGUACUUUAAGUGGAGGCUGAAUCAUCUCCCCUUUGAGCUGCUUGGCACGUGGCUCCCUUGGUGUUCCCCUUUUACUGCCAGGACACUGAGAUUUGGAGAGAGUCUCACUCUGUGGUCCAGGCUGAAGUACAGUGGCAUGAUCCCAGGUCACUGCAACCCCCACCUCCCGGGUUCAAGUGAUCCUCCUGCCUCAGCCUCCCGAGUAGCUGGUAUUACAGGCGUGUGCCACAAAGCCUGGCUAAGUUUUGUAUUUUUAGUAGAGACGGGGUUUCACCAUGUUGGCCAGGUUGGUCUCGAACUCCUGACCUCAAGUGAUCCACUCACUUUGGCCUUUCAACGUGCUGGGAUUACAGGCGAGAGUCACCGCACCCGGACGACUCUGACAUUUUUGAAGAGUCCAGAAUCCUGUUACACCUGGGAUUUAGGCACUUUCAAUCUGAAAAAAUACAUAUCCUUUCAGCACUCUGGACGGACUUGAGAACUGUCCUUACGUGACCUAAAGCUGGAGUAUUUUGAGAUUGGAGAAUUAAGAUCUUGGACAUGAUACCUGGAUGUGCAGCAGCCAUCUGGUAAUUAUGAGGUGACAAGUCAAUAGACUGAGAUGGUGGAGCAGCAAAGAUAGAAAAGAAGGACAGAAUAACGGGCUCCCAGAUUCACAAGCCCCACCAAGAGGAUCACCCCAGGAACGCUUGGAGGCUGAGGAGUUCACUGAGGCUACUGCAUCUUGAGACUCAGGAUGAAGACCCAGCUUGGGGCUGUCAAAGGUUUUUUGCAUGUCUGACACCCAUGACUCCACCUGGACCUUAUGGCUCCACCCAGAAGCAAUUCAGCCCAACAGGAGGACAGCUUCAACCCAUUACGAUUUCAUCUCUGCCCCAACCACUCAGCAGCAAGCACCUGUUACCUGUCCACCCCCACCCCUUCCCCCAAACUGCCUUUGAAAAAUCCCUAACCUAUGAGCUUUGAAUAAGAUGAGUACGAACUUCAUCGCCCACGUGGCGUGGCCGGCCUCGUGUCUAUUAAAUUCUUUUU